GACGAGGGGUCCAAGCGUUGUUCGGAAUCAUUGGGCGUAAAGCGGGUGUAGGCGGCUCUAUAAGUCAGGAGUGAAAGCCCCGAGCUUAACUUGGGAAGUGCUUUUGAUACUGCAGAGCUUGAAUGUGGGAGAGGUUAGUGGAAUUCCUAGUGUAGUGGUGAAAUACGUAGAUAUCAGGAGGAACACCGGUGGCGAAGGCGGCUAACUGGCCCAACAUUGACGCUGAGACCCGAAAGCAUGGGGAUCAAACAGG
rnacentral:rRNA from 1 species